rnacentral:rRNA from 1 species
AGCUCCAAUAGCGUAUAUUAAAGUUGUUGCAGUUAAAAAGCUCGUAGUUGGAUUUCUGGUAGGAGGGACCGGUCAGAUCAUUGAUCUGUACUUGUGUCCUCUCCCGCCAUCUUUGGGUGGAUCCUUUCUGGCAUUAAGUUGUCGGGAAGGGGAUGCCCAUCUUUUACUGUGAAAAAAUUAGAGUGUUCAAAGCAGACUUACGUCAUUGAAUAUAUUAGCAUGGAAUAAUAAGAUAGGGCUUCAGUACUAUUUUGUUGGUUUGCGUACCGAGGUAAUGAUUAACAGGGACAGUUGGGGGUAUUCGUAUUCAGUAUUCAGUGGUGAAAUACUUAGAUCUACGGAAGACGAACUACUGCGAAAGCAUUUACCAAGGAUGUUUUCA